rnacentral:lncRNA from 1 species
CUAGCUCUGCUCCCAGCCAGGGACGCUGGCCUUCUCGCGGCUUUCCCCCGAUGUCUCUCUUUAUUCCAGCUGCCUGAAACUCGGUCCCACGAAUGGCAGGCAGCGUCCAAAAUUCAACCCCGUAAAGCCAGCACCAGCCAAUAAAGCGCACGGAUGGAGGCCACGUGACAGCAGUGGGCCGGCCCUCCGGCUGAGCCCUGAUCUCUAUGGUUUCCGCGGCUCGCUAGAAGGAGUGCGGUCCACUGGAGGUCUCCCUACAUUCUUCCUCCAUUAUCUCACUGCCUCCGGUGGCUGCUGGGAUACCGGAGGACUCGGGUCCCGGCUCGACUCAGUCCUCCAGCCGCCCGGGGAAUACCUCUAGUUCUUCCCGGCCGCCGCCGCCUCCGCCCCGCCGCUUCCUCCUCCGCCUGCCGGCCUCCUUCGCCCCGCCCCGUCCGCGCAGCUCGUCCGGCCCGCCCGCAGGCCAGCUUCUCUCGGGAGCCUCCACCCAGGCGCAUGGCUCCAUGAAGCAAGAGGAGGAGGCAGAGCGCGAGAGAUCCCGUCCGCCCCAGCCGCGUCUGGGCCAGGAGAAAAGCAAAACCAUAUUCCUGCUGCUGUCAGUUUUGAUGCACUGAGAAAACUUCAGAGACCUAAGCUUUUUCCAGAGAAGAGAAGCUUUACUGGUGUUCCAGCCCUAAGGCUCAUAUGACAUUAACAGACAAGACACUUUUCAGAAAGACAGGUUGUUCUUUUGGGCCACAUCUAAGAAAUCUUUGUCUAGCCAAAAGCCACAAAUAAUUUCUCAUUUUUUGGCUUCUGGAAGAUGUACAGUUAAAUGUUAUAUUUGGGACUGUUAUCUAAUUUGAUUAAAUUGCACUCUACAAUAUGAUAUUUGAAUUGAUGAAAAAUUAGUAAAUGUUAAUAUUUUUUAAAGUAGCCAAAUCUUGCAAUUUAUAUAUAAUAGAGAAGACUAGAAAAUCCCCCAUAUUUAUUUCCUCUUACUUCGUACUACUAAAAUUUGUAUUUAGGCAUUUGGUUUCUCAGAUAAACAUUACAUUCCCCAGUAUAUGGUUCUAUCUGGCUUGGUGACGACAUGUUGAACAUUAAGAUGUGAGCAGAAGUAAUACAUACACACUCUUUUUAAUGUCUUUAAUUGAAUGGGAUAUUGGCCCAUUUUUUCUUCCAGUUUAUUACACUGAAUAUUGACAUGUUAUUUUCCAAUAUUGAGACAAUCAAUGACAAGACUUUAAGAGUAACAAUGUAAAAAUUAUAGAAGUUGUCUGAGUUUAUCAACAAUCCCCUGGAUUAGAACCCCCUACCAGUUCUAGGUCAUCUAAUAUAUAGACAUUGUGUUCAGUAGAAAUAAAUAUAUAUAUUUUUUAAUAUACUUUAAGUUCUAGGAUACAUGUGCACAACAUGCAGGUUUGUUACAUUGGUAUACACAUGCCAUGUUGGUUUGCUGCACCCAUUAACUCAUCAUUUACAUUAGUUAUUUCUCCUAAUGCUAUCCCUCCCCCUGCCCCCCACCCCCCGACAGGCCCUGGGGUGUGAUGUUCCCCACCCUGUGUCCAAGUGUUCUCAUUGCUCAAUUCCCACCUAUGGGAAUACAUUUUUAAAUCAUUUUUAAAGGUGUUAUUACAUUCUGAUUGAACAUUUUCAGAAAGAAUAAAUAAUUUAAUACAAGAAGUGGGCCACUUCAUGUAACAAAACAAACCACCACUACAGCAACAACAACAAAAAACACUAAUGAAUGUGACUUUAGCUUUGCAACAUCAUGACAGACUAGCAAGUUAAUGACAUUUGUUAUGCCAUAGAAAAUAUUUGUUGAAUUGCCACUCUAAUGACUUUAUAUCAGCCAACUCAUUAUCAACACUAGAAAAGAUGAUUAAAAAAUACUUCAGUACGUUCAUGUGUUGGCUUGUUAACAUUUUUAAGAGUCUAUAAGAGAAAAAUGCAUCCAAUCUCGGCAAAAAUAUUUUUCAAGUAUCUUGUAGGUACGUACAACUAACUACCUUGUGAACAAAAGUCACUAUAUAAUUAUAUAAUUUCUGACACUUAAAAAAGUUUAUUGUGCAAAAGAAGAUAUAUGUUCUAAUACCAAAUCCACAUAUAAAAUAAUUGACUUAUUUAAAUAAUUUAAGAUGCUCUUUUAUAUAUUUAUAUUAAAAACUUUACAGAGAAUAAAAAAGGCAUUAUACAGGCUGCUUAUGGUUUUUGAUGUUUGGAUAUACAAUACAUGUAUCAAAGAUUGUGGAAAUAAAUCAAGCAAUAUAUUCAAU